AUGUUGAUGCAAGACUACUUCGCCGACAAUCCUACAUAUCCGCCGCACCUCUUCCGGAGAAGGUAUCGAAUGCGCCGAUCCCUCUUCGUAAAAAUUGUGCAAGCUUAUGAGGCCAAUUCUCGAUUUUUUACUCAAAGGAGAAACGACGCGGGCUUGUUGGGUUUUAGCGCAUAUCAAAAAAAAUCUCUGCAACUAUGUAGGUGA
rnacentral:rRNA from 1 species